AAACGCAUAUGACAGUUCUCGUUGUCAAAUCAGUCGAGCAGUUUGUUUUGCUGGAACCGAUCGUCUGCCAUCGGAAUUCUAGACCGCAUCCCGUCGCCGGAGAACUGCGACGACCACGAGGAGGAGGAAGAACCUUCUUUUUCACCAUCUUCCACCUUCCAUCUAAAUCCGUUUCGAGGAUGUUGGUUUGCACCUGCCGCAACGUCGUGAUGGACCACACCCGGAAAACCGGGAAUCGAUAAGCACUGGAAAAGCAAGAAGUAAGUUUCGUUGGUGGCGGAACGCGAAGAAGGCGGAGAAUACGUGUCGUGUGAAACGCGGAUCAGGCAACAUCCAGAAGGGACGCUUUAUUUUGAUCCGGACAGCGGGGAUUUGAGGUGUUCCUCGUACAUCGUGAUGAUGGACCAUACGCGGAUGCAUUCUUCGAUAGGCUCCUGUUGUCCAAGUCACACGUCAAUCAUAGUGCGAAACCUGCCCCUCCAAGUGAGACAAUUCCGUGCUGCCUGUCAACAAGUUCAAGGAA
rnacentral:lncRNA from 1 species